UAACACAAUGAUAGCUCGCAGGUCAGUUUUCCGUUAAUUCAUCAUUGUGUUUAUUUUAUCUAUUAUUGAUUUUGGUAGAUAAUCCUGAUAAUUCUUACAAAUGAUACGCAUUCUGUUUACAUGCGUAGGCCGUUGUUGGUAUUUACUACUCAAGCAAAUUUCGUAACAUCGGAGUGUUUUAUCCAUUACGUUUUGGCCUAAAUGACUUUGUUUACUAUUAUUAGAUCAGAUAUUGCGAAAUUUUCAAAUGAAAUUGAUUUGGUCAGCCUUAAUUACUUUAUUUUUGUUUUCGAUGGAAUUUUCAUUAAUUGGCCAGAAAUGUUAAUUACUUUGUUUACCUGUUCAGCAUAUUGUUGUUGUUUACAAUUUAUACAAAAUGAAUCACCGUUGAAUGUUUUAUCUAUUAGAUUUGACCCUAAUUAUUUUGUUUUUUCAGUAACAGUCAUUUAUUUACGAAAAUACACAUUGGUGAUUGAUUCCACAUCUGUUGUUUACUAUUAUAUGAGUACAUAAUGGACGUUUUGAUUGACAUGUUUUGAAAUUGCUUUGAAUAUUUUGAAAUACUUGUAAACAUGUUAUUGCGUUGUAGUUCGUAAAAACAGGUAUAAAUACUCAGAGAAUUAAGAGAAGAUAGGAGAAUAGGGAGAGGAGGACUGAGUCAAGAAAAGAGAGGACUAAGUUAAGAAUCAGGAAGUUAGAAAUGUUUUACAAAAAUGGGAUCGGAUAAUUGGCAGUUCGGAUCGGUUCAGAUCAGCUCGGUUAAGUUCGAUUUUUUUGGGCUCGGGUUUAAGAGCGGGUUAAAAAUAACUGUGGAAGUUUUAGAAUUGACUAUUAUGUUAUAGAACUUUUGGACUUAAGAAUAAAAAAUUAAUUAAAAGUUUGACGCGGGAAAAUACUAUUUAAAAAGCUGAUGUAUUUAUACCUGAAUUGACUGUUAGUAUAGCUGACGUCUGUAUAACCUUGUAAAUAAAACCGAGUGUGAAAAACCUGCUGACUUUCUCAAUCUAUGCAACAAGUGGUGGUGUUACAUUGAUCGUUUCUGGUGCACAUGUGACCAGGAUUUCAACAGAACAUUUUGAACAAACAAAAAAUUUGUCGCGGAUAUCACAACGGAAGUACUUAAAAGAAUACAGCUUGAAAACUACAUUUGGAAGUAUUGAAGCAUCAACUACAGAACAGAAAUUCAUACAAAAAAUAUAGAAUAAAAAUUUAACUGUUUUACUUUGAAAAUUAUUAGUACAUCAAUGACGGAUAAAACAACGAAAGACCUGAGCAAAAACGAAUCUGGUAUUCAUUACAUUUGCGAAAUAUUGUAACAUCAACAAUGAAUUAAACGUUCGGAAGCGCAGCAUGCUAAUAAUAAAAACAACUGAUAAGAAAAAUGGAAAAGAACUAUUAUGACAAAUACGGAACUACUGUCGGAGCUGGACAACGAAUCGCGCAGAGAAAACAAAUCGUUUUAAAGACAUGCAACAGGGCCGUGCUACAGAAAAUAGCGACUGCAGGAACUCGAGUAAAUGUUUCUAAGGAGGAAGGGAGAUAUAUAGAUUCCAGGAAUUCGUGUAAAAUAAUAUCUAAGGAAGGAAAGAAGAUGCAGAACUCCAGAAAUAAAAUGAGGGAGAAAUGAAAAGAUGUGUAACUAUGUUUAGAUUCUGAAGAUGAUUUCAUGAGCUAAAUUUUUCAAGGCAGAGCAUACAAGAAAUUUAAAUUUAGUUAACGAUAAUAUUCCGAACAGUUACCAGUGGGUUGCAGAGAUUCUGAACAGUCCUAACAAAUAAAAGGCGAUGCAACUUUUAGCAGCAGAUGAUGUAUGGUAAAACAUGUUUAAAGCCAUCAAAAAAAAAAAGUUGAAGAAAAUCAUAUGAAAGCUUAUAUGAAUACAACACGGAUAGAUAACAUUGUACCAGCGUAAACAAUAAUAGCAAAUCAUCACAGGAGGUACAAACGUCAUCCGAAACUAAUAUGAAAUAUUCUAUGAUUAAUUCUUGGGAAAAAUAUGCUGGAUUGUGUUCAUAUCUUGAAAGGAAUAUACUAGAGACGUGUUUCUUUUUGUAGAUGUGUUUUUUUAUCUUAUAGAAGUGUUCCCUUAUAGACGUGUGAUUUUAUUCUUAUUGACGUGCUACCUUUUAAUAGACGUGUAUUUUUUAUCUAAUAGACAUGUUCCCUUUUACAGACGUGAAUCCUCAAUUUUAUGUGUUUGAAUUUGAUUGUUAUAGCUUUAGCAAAAUGAAAACGUCAAUAGCAACAGUGACAUGAAACGAUAGCAACGGAGACUUAUAAAAUGCAGCCGGAUGAAAAAUGGAACUGGACAAAAAAACAGUGAUGCCGUGAAUAAUAUUUUGUCAUGUCUGUACUUUAAAUGUUUUUGAAGAAAUGUAUAAAAAAAAAUAUACUACAUAACAUUUGCUUUGCAAAUAUGUAGAGUGAGGUAAACAAAUAACAGGUUAUAUAUUUCGCUUGGUUAUCAAAAUUGUUGAAAAGGCAGUAUCUUUGAAUAUAGGUGCAUAAUUAAAGUUUUCAUAAAAAUAGUGGGCCUUAUAUACAACUGAAAACAGUGUCUGAGAUAACAGCUUGAUAGUUUACUUCUGAUGCUCCAUAAUAUAUUUAUCAAAAUUAUCUAUAAUAGGUGAAUGCAAACGUUCGGUAACAUCUGAGAAUCUUCAUUACUAUGAAUAUUCUCGAUUGAUUAGGAUAGUGAUGUAACACAAUGAUAGCUCGCAGGUCAGUUUUCCGUUAAUUCAUCAUUGUGUUUAUUUUAUCUAUUAUUGAUUUUGGUAGAUAAUCCUGAUAAUUCUUACAAAUGAUACGCAUUCUGUUUACAUGCGUAGGCCGUUGUUGGUAUUUACUACUCAAGCAAAUUUCGUAACAUCGGAGUGUUUUAUCCAUUACGUUUUGGCCUAAAUGACUUUGUUUACUAUUAUUAGAUCAGAUAUUGCGAAAUUUUCAAAUGAAAUUGAUUUGGUCAGCCUUAAUUACUUUAUUUUUGUUUUCGAUGGAAUUUUCAUUAAUUGGCCAGAAAUGUUAAUUACUUUGUUUACCUGUUCAGCAUAUUGUUGUUGUUUACAAUUUAUACAAAAUGAAUCACCGUUGAAUGUUUUAUCUAUUAGAUUUGACCCUAAUUAUUUUGUUUUUUUCAGUAACAGUCAUUUAUUUACGAAAAUACACAUUGGUGAUUGA